rnacentral:lncRNA from 1 species
AAGGGGGUGCGCGUCCUAGAUUUGUGAACGGGAACCCCGUGUGGUCUGACACAUACGGGCCCAAGAACAUUGUGUACAGCCCAAAAGAAGAGCUACAGUGCGUGUGUAAGCCCGGAUUCCAGUGCUCUAGCGAAGCGUGUAUCACGUGCAUUCAACGGGACGAGUCCUCCAUUACCGAGGACCCUCUGUCUGCGGACUCUGACGCGAGGACAAGAAACGAGGGGAUUGUCUCGGCUGUGUGUGUCCUGCUUGGACUGUCGCUGAUAUUUGGCCUAGCGUUCAGAAACCGGAGUGAGCUACGACGUGUGUGUGCACACGGUGGCCAUGAAUGUCGGGUAGGACUAUCGGCUGCUAAUGACUGUAUCAUAGGGUUAGUUGGAAGGCUGAGUAGACCGGCUAGAGAGGCUGCCGUGCCCGCUGUCUCGCGUGAUGAGAUUGUCGUCUUGGACAAGCCCAAUUGCACAGGACUGCCCAGUGAGGACGACCAAGUACGUAGGGUCGGUGAGAGGAGGAUAGCGGGGGUUCGACUGAAUAUCGUAUUGUAUGCUGUUAUAGCUGUGACCCUAUCGAGCACACUUAUAGUUGGAACUCUGUACAUAGCGGACCGGUUGCUGAUAAACCACUGUGACUCGACCAUCUCCGUGUACACCUUUCCGCUGGGCUACGCUGUGACAAGCAAAGGACUGGGGAACUUGGAGGCCGUAGCGCUCUCGGGGUUCUUGCAUAGGUGCAGGCAACAAAACGAGUUCACGGUGCCCGCCCGUGUCAAGUUUCACAAGGCCAUCCGGUGUCUGAGAGGUAGCAGAGAAUACAAGAGAGCAUCAGCUGACGCGUCGCAGACCAAGCAAUCGCAUGGCACCAAGGACUCUAGCUCUGGUCACGUAGAAGCGUCGGGGUCCUUUGCUGGUGUAACGGCCUCGGCCGAAGUGACGUUCAGUAAGACCGAUGCCGUGGAGAGGUCGAUGGAGAGGACGGUAGCUUCGAGUAACAGAGUUUCAGUCUCGUC